rnacentral:tRNA from 3 species
GGCAGGGUAGCUCAGUUGGUGAGAGCGCACGACUCAUAAUCGUGAGGUCGCGGGUUCGAGUCCCGCUCCUGCUA